rnacentral:lncRNA from 1 species
CCCUUGCAAACAUCAAUACAAGGAGGUUAACAACUCCUUCCUUAUGGAACACAAAAUUAUUGUGAAUUAGCAUUAAAUACAAAAAAAAAUUACAAAAAUACCUCUUCUAUUUUAGCUCAUUUUUACUUAUACCCUCUGUACUUUAAAAAGUAUCAAACUAGUCUUUCUAGCCAUCGAUAUGUUUCGAUAUGGGCCAUCCGUCUAUUUUUGUUAAUAAAAUUUUUUAAAAUGACAAAAAUACCUGUCUCUUCCCUCCUCCAUCCUCUCCAAUUGAUUUCCUCCUCCAUGACUGGUGUCCCUCUUUCUCUUUCUUCCUUCCUCCUCCUCUCCUUUCUCCUCCUCCCCUUCCUUCUUACCUGUUUCUCCUCUUCCCCUUUCUCGUUCUCUUUUCUCCAUCCAUUCUCUUCCUCUUCCUUCUCGUCCAUUUCUCCUCCUCAUCUUUCUCCUCCAAGCUGUCCAUAAACCACCCCCCUACAUGGCGGCCUCCU